UGCGUAGGCGGCUUUCUAAGUUGGAUGUGAAAACUCUGGGCUCAACCCAGAGCCUGCAUCCAAAACUGGAGAGCUUGGGUUCUGGAGGGGAAAGCGGAAUUCCUGGUGUAGCGGUGAAAUGCGUAGAUAUCAGGAGGAACACCGGUGGCGAAGGCGGCUUUCUGGACAGAUACCGACGCUGAGGCACGAAAGCUAGGGGAGCAAACAGGAUUAGAUACCCUGGUAGUCCUAGCCCUAAACGAUGGAUACUUGCUGUGAGGGGGAUUGAAACCCCUUGUGGCGAAGCUAACGCAUUAAGUAUCCCGCCUGGGGAGUACGGUCGCAAGGCUGAA
rnacentral:rRNA from 1 species